rnacentral:hammerhead_ribozyme from 1 species
AUCCAGUUGACGAGUCCCAAAUAGGAUGACGCUCGAGACCUGGAU